rnacentral:rRNA from 1 species
ACGCUGGCGGCAUGCUUUACACAUGCAAGUCGGACGGCAGCACAGAGAAGCUUGCUUCUUGGGUGGCGAGUGGCGAACGGGUGAGUAACAUAUCGGAACGUACCUAGUAGUGGGGGAUAACUGAUCGAAAGAUCAGCUAAUACCGCAUACGUCUUGAGAGGGAAAGCAGGGGACCUUCGGGCCUUGCGCUAUUCGAGCGGCCGAUAUCUGAUUAGCUAGUUGGUGGGGUAAAGGCCUACCAAGGCGACGAUCAGUAGCGGGUCUGAGAGGAUGAUCCGCCACACUGGGACUGAGACACGGCCCAGACUCCUACGGGAGGCAGCAGUGGGGAAUUUUGGACAAUGGGCGCAAGCCUGAUCCAGCCAUGCCGCGUGUCUGAAGAAGGCCUUCGGGUUGUAAAGGACUUUUGUCAGGGAAGAAAAGGCUGUUGCUAAUAUCAGCGGCUGAUGGCGGUACCUGAAGAAUAAGCACCGGCUAACUACGUGCCAGCAGCCGCGGUAAUACGUAGGGUGCGAGCGUUAAUCGGAAUUACUGGGCGUAAAGCGAGCGCAGACGGUUACUUAAGCAGGAUGUGAAAUCCCCGGGCUCAACCUGGGAACUGCGUUCUGAACUGGGUGACUAGAGUGUGUCAGAGGGAGGUAGAAUUCCACGUGUAGCAGUGAAAUGCGUAGAGAUGUGGAGGAAUACCGAUGGCGAAGGCAGCCUCCUGGGAUAACACUGACGUUCAUGCUCGAAAGCGUGGGUAGCAAACAGGAUUAGAUACCCUGGUAGUCCACGCCCUAAACGAUGUCAAUUAGCUGUUGGGCAACUUGAUUGUUCAGUAGCGUAGCUAACGCGUGAAAUUGACCGCCUGGGGAGUACGGUCGCAAGAUUAAAACUCAAAGGAAUUGACGGGGACCCGCACAAGCGGUGGAUGAUGU